UGGUGGAUUGAUUUGUCUGGUUAAUUCCGAAAACGAACGAGACCUUAACCUAUUAAAUAGUAUCAAUAAACAGGACGAAAAUUCGAGAUUUAAAUGAAAUAACUUCUUAAAGGGACUCUUCACAUUUUAGUGAAGGGAAGUUUAAGGCAAAACA
rnacentral:rRNA from 1 species